UCCUUGUUGGGGGUGAGUCUUGGUGACGC
rnacentral:sRNA from 1 species